GAGGGUGUAGCUCAGUGGUAGAGUGCUUGCCUAGCAUGCACGAGGUCCUGGUUCAAUCCCCAGUACCUCCU
rnacentral:tRNA from 1 species